rfam:Ricinus communis cultivar Hale ctg_1100012363047, whole genome shotgun sequence.
AAAUCAUGAUGAGGGCAUCUCCUUUUCAACUCCUUGAACCUUUCCCAAGUAUCAUAAAGUGAUUAAUCACCCUUUUGGUAAAAACUAGCAAUAUGUUGUCUGAUUUU